UCCUAUUACAGUACUGUACUGAAAGUAUACCUACCUAUGCAAAACGAUUUUUGUACCGUGUAACAGGUGACGUAUUUGUUGUUACUCGUGGCCGAUAGAAUUAUUAACAUUCCCACUGGCUACUUGGGCAUUUGGCAUAACGUGCAUGCACAUUGCACAUAUACGAGUACGUAUAGGUAUAUGACCUAUAUAUUACCUAUUAUUGUUGGUUCACACUUUUUUUUAUCAUUUAAAUUUAUAUAAUUUACAUCAUAAUAUUGAUUUUAAAUCGUUUGAUAAACAAUAUAAUUUAGUGCAAUGCGUAUACGUAUACGCAUGAUUAAAAUAAUACACUAACAAUAUUAA